GUGGCUAUAGCUCAGCCUGGUUAGAGCAUCGGAUUGUGGUUCCGAGGGUCGUGGGUUCGAGUCCCAUUAGCCACC
rnacentral:tRNA from 1 species